UUAAAGUAUACGAACGAUCGUGGACGCGUCCUAUUAUACCUUUUUACUUUUAAUUAUAAUUUUAUAAUAACAAAUAUACCCACCACCACAACUAGGAAUGUAUUGGUUAACAAAAAUGGUAUAAAAAGAACAAAUAUUGAACAGUAUUUCAAUAGAUUUCUUAACGGAAACAAGUUAUUCGGUCGUGAAAAAAUAUGAAACUAAUUAGAUCAUUCCUCAUAGUUGCUUGCAUUGUUGCCAGUGCAAUGGCCGCUCCGGAUAAUUAUAACGCCCAAAACGUUGUUAACACUGGUCAUUUCAAUCAAGGAGGAAAAUAAUUCAAAUUUUUACGUUAAUAGAAAAAAAUGUUUGUCGAGUAAAUAAAAUGAUUUAUUACUAAACAUA